ACCCGCGCCUCUCCCUCCACACCUCUGUGCAAGCUGAGGGAGCCGGCUCCGGCCUCGGCCAGCCCAGAAAAGGGCUCCCGCAGUGCAGCGGCGGGCUGAAGGGCUGCUGAAGCGCGGCAAGAGUGGGCGCCUAGGCCAAGGAGGCGCGGAGAGCGAGCGAGGCCUGUGAGUGCUGCCAGCACGCCGUCACCUCUCAAUAUGACUUAGGGAUCAUGGCUUAUUUGAGCUGUUGCUCCUCAGUGGACAUCAUAGGAUCUUGCAGAUGUGUAUCAAUCCUUCGCAAGUAGGUGCCCAGGAAGUCCUGGAACUGAGUCCUGGGGCAAGGUUCUGGAAGUUGGGACAAGAAGAUUCCUAGAAAAGAGGAAAACAAUCACUCUAGAACUGUUAUAAGCAUGCUAACCAGGACUUCAGAGAAAGGAAAAAAAAAGGCUGAACCUCGCUGGUGAUUCAGAUGGAUCAUGAGGAUCUUUCAACAAAGCUAAGUUCCCGUCUUUUAACGCAGUUAUUCUCAUACUUUUAUACUGAAAUAUCCAGAAUAGCAAAUGAGUUAAAUAUGUUUUCUGUGGGGUUCUGUACAAAGAAGAUUUAGAGCUUUAUGAACCUAAAAUAACAUAUCACAAGGAGAAAAUUUACUUGAAGUGGGAGACUUGGCUUAAAAGCAUCUAAUAUAAAUUGUAUAUUAUAUUCAAUAAUACAAAAGCAAUGCUUUAUUUAGAAUGAAUUAAAAUGCAUGCUUCAGACAAAAUGCAUGAUGUUUAGCUUUUGAUUUACUGAAUAUACUAUUCAACAGAUGUUUGAGUUACAUAGUUUGAGGAGCACAGGCCUUUGGUAUUGAUGGCUCCUGUUAAAAUAAAAACAUGUUUUCUGAGAGCAUAAUCAUAUGAAACCAGGAGCACAUAUUAACAUAAAACUCAAAUCACUUCCCCUGACUUUCUUCUUUCAAAUGUAAAGAAAGUGGGAAACAGGACAGAUGAAUUUGAAGAAACAGAAGAGCUCAGGAAAGUUCAAAGCAUGAAGCAAACUCAAAAGUAUAUCUAAAUACCUAGGGAGCACCUUCAAAGCACAAGGUACCUGAAGAUGAAACGGCAGAAGUGAAAAGAAUUGCUCGUGUAGUACAGGGCUAAAAUUGUACCUGAAGCAUCUCUGCUGCUAUCCCAGGAGAAGAAGAGUCGACAGUAGCUAUGGUAAACAUGCAUGGAAGCAUCAGGGAAAACAGAAAUUUAGAGAAGCAGAUAGAGUGAGCCCAAGGCAAGAUAAGGGUUUCUGGGUCUGAAUUUCAGAAAAGCCUGACUAUGGAGAGUGGGAGUUCCUGUUUUCUUUCAGUGACUUGCUAAUUUCAAUUUUGUGUGUGUGUGGCAUUAACAGAUUUUUGCCUAACUUGGGACAUUUUUAACAGUAGAGGAACUCUUCUGUCAGUUCUGAUAUGGUAAUUUUAAAACACAUAUUCUUUAACUGAACAUUCAUUAAAUCACUUGGCCAGGAAUCCAAAUAACAAAAUGUCUGUCAUGGAAUUCUGUGUGUAAUAGGAGUUAUGUAACUUGUUUCUUCUUAGUAGAGAGAAUAAAAAGUAAAGUCAAAACCACCCCCAGAUGACCAUUUUUAGCACUUUCAUUUUAUCGGGAGAGGUGAGCAACAUGCAGAAAAUAUAUAUUCUUGAAUUAAUCUCCUUUGGGUACAGAGAGAAAAGAGCUCAUUAUUCUUCUAACUGGCAACGUUUGAUUUUAUUGACACCCUAACAGUAUGUCAAUUGCUCAGUAUAUCUCCCUAGGCUGUAGUCUUGCAGACUUUCUUUUUUCUUUUUUUUUUUAACUUACCAAUUCUAUGAUGUAUUCCCAUGGAUGUCUCUUUUUAUGCUAUUUUACAAUCUAUUUCUAGAAUAAUCAUGGAAAUUUCAAUGGAAACAACAUAUCACAUUCUCUGUCUACUACAUAAGUAUGUCUUUUUUAUUUGUAAAUAGAUCAUAUUUUGCACAUAAUUAGGUAAUACCCACAUAUCUCAAUUUGGCUUAGGAAUUAUAUUGAAAGAUAGAAUUGCAUAAGGGUAGGGAUUUUACUUUUAAAUUAUUUUCAUGUCUCCAUGGAUUGGCUCUGUGCUUUACACCCAGUAGCUGUGAAACAAGUACUUAUUUAAUGAUGAAUGAAUAAAUAAAUAAAUAGUUAAAUGCAGCAACAAAAAUGUUGGUAGAUAUAUAGGAUUGUAGAAUCUAAUUGCUUAGUAGGAUCAUCAAGUUCUACCCAAAUUUGGUGUGGCAAACAGAACAAUGGUCCCUUAAGGAUGGCCUAGUCCUAACCUCCCAAACCUGGAAUAUGUUACCUUAUGUAACAAAGAGACUUUGCAGAUGUAAUUAAGUUAAUGAUCUUAAGACAGAAAUAUUAUUCUAAGUGAACUCAAUGAAAUUACAAUGAACAAUGUUCCUUAAAAGAGGAAGGCAAAAGUUCAGAAUGAAACACACAGACACACAUAAAGUGGCUACGAAAGCAGAAGUAGUGAGAGAUUUGAAGAUGCUACCUUACUAGAUUCAAAGACAGAGGAAGGGGUUAAAAUCUGAGGAAAUCAGGCAAGGCAGCCUUUCGAAGCUGCAGAAGAUGAGGAAAUGAAUUCUCCCUAGAACUUCCAGAUAGAAACAGCCCUACUGAUGCCUUGACAUUAGCUCAGUGAAACGUAUUUUCAGACUCUAACUUCCAGAUCUGUAGGAGAUAAAUUUGUGUUGUUUAAGCUACUACAUUUGUGGCAGUUUGUCAAAGUAGCAAAAGGAAACGUAUAUUUGGUAGGCAUCAGAAUUUCCUGAGCAAUAUAGUGUGAUUACCUUUGAAAAUUCUACUCAGCAGUCCUGGAAUUGCAGCCUGAAAUUUGAAAUUUACUAAGUGCUCCCACUAUAUCUGAGUCAGGAAUUACCUAGGAAACCAUGAUAUAUUGCAUUACACUAAUUUUGUACUUGAGAAAAAGCACAAUGUUAAAAUCUCAAGAACAUUAAUAUAGACUUAAGUACAAUUUAUCAUGUAAAAACAUAUUUGAAAAAGUAAGCCUGAAAAAAAGAAACAACUGAACUAUUAACACUAUAUUCUCUAACUAUAUAUUGAUUUUCUCCUUUUGCUUUUACACAGCGAACCACAUAUACUUUCACAGAGGGUGAUUUGGAUAAUAUGUUCCAUGCAUUGCUCCAAGCAGAAAUUCUCAAUCUAUCAUUUCUGCUUGUAUUAUUUUACACCUCUUAAAGACAUUCACAUUCCAUCACAGGGAGCCAAAAUCAGCCUGUUAUAUCUCUGUUUGCGAAUACCGCAAUACUUACUUUACUUUCUCCUGAAUAGAUUGUUAGUGGUUUUUAUUAUCUCCUGUAAAGAGUGUGAGAAAUGCAUGUUGCAAGGACACUUUUGUUUUAUUCACAUUAUUCUACUGAAUCAUGCUAACCAUAGCAUUACAUCUAUUUAUCUAUCUAGCUAUUAAACAUAUUCAGAAUACCUAACAACUUUAGGGGCAUUCAGUAUAUAGAAUAUGCUAGUAUUUGUUAUUUUCUAAAAAUUAAUAAUUAAGAAUGUCAUUCUAUUAUUGCAUUAGUGACUUAGUUAAAAUUUAGACCAUUA